rnacentral:rRNA from 1 species
GAUGGACGCUGGCGGCGUGCCUAACACAUGCAAGUCGAGCGAUCUUCUUCGGAAGAGAGCGGCGGACGGGUGAGUAACGCGUGGGUAACCUGCCUCAUACACAUGGAUAACAUACCGAAAGGUAUGCUAAUACAAGAUGAUAUAAGAGAUUCGCAUGGCUUUCUUAUCAAAGCUCCGGCGGUAUGAGAUGGACCCGCGUCUGAUUAGCUAGUUGUUAAGGUAACGGCUUACCAAGGCGACGAUCAGUAGACGACCUGAGAGGGUGAUCGGCCACAUUGGAACUGAGACACUGUCCAAACUGCUACGGGAGGCAGCAGUGGGAAAUAUUGCACAAUGGGCGAAAGCCUGAUUCAGCAACGCCGCGUGAGCGAUGAAGGCCUUCGGGUCGUAAAGCUCUGUCCUCAAGGAAGAUAAUGACGGUACUUGAGGAGGAAGCCCCGGCUAACUACGUGCCAGCCGCCGCCGUAA